UAUCAGCAUUACAGCUUCUCUGGAAAAGAAGCUGUAAUCAUCAGUGUUGCCACUCAGUGAGAUCACUGCAUCAAGCAGUCUCAACUGCAUGCAUCUGUGUAUUUUAUGGC
ensembl:miRNA gga-mir-6713 gga-mir-6713